CUCCUUCUUGGAGGAGCAUAAAUAUUUUUUCCUGCCACAAGUAUAUACAUUUAAAGAAGUUUAGCUAUAUAUCUAAGAACUUUGCCAUGAAAAGUCCCAAGCAGCUGAUGUGGCAUCAGGUCUGCUAGGCAAAGUAUUAUGGGGAUGUGAUGAGGAGCACAACAGACCUAAAAAACCUAGGCUGGUUACUCAUGGAUCAACUCUGAGUUUCAUAUUCGAUGAAAAAUCAUAAAAUUGCUCUUUGUUUUUAAUAGCGUGUAGAGAAUAAGAAAAUUCCUAGCAUCUAAAGAUACAAUCUAUGAUGGUCAUUGCCAUGUUAUAACAUAAAUGAUAUCCUGUGCAAUUGCAAGGCUCUGCAAUACACCAUUUUGACUUGAG
rnacentral:misc_RNA from 1 species